UCUCAUCACUUGCACACUACCUCACAUACAUUUUUCUUCUCUCUACACUCUCUAGAUUUUCUUUCUAUAGGAAGACUAGUAAGGCUAGCACUUUCUUCCUCUUUUUAUAUUUUUUUAAAAUUGUCUUUAUAUUUCAUUCAUACAUUGCUUCUUUACUUAUUCAUAUAUAUUGUCUAUACAUUUAUUUGCUUGCAUUGUCUUUAUAUUUUUUUUAUAUACAUUGCCUUUAUAUUUAUUUAUCUAUAUUUUUUUUACAUUUAUUUAUAUACAUUGUGUCUUUAAAUUUCUUCAUAUAUUGUUUCUAUAUUUUUGUAUUCUCUAUACAUUUUUCUUUACAUUUUACAUACAUUUUCCUUACGCUCUCCACACUUUUCCUUUAUAUUAUCUUACAUCUAUCUAUUCUUUUAUAUAUUUUUUAUACAAAUACGUUAUAUACAUAUACAUGUACAUAUUUACAUUACUUAACUACUAAGAAAAGAAGAGAGAAACUUUUCAUUAAAAGAAAUGCACUUAUUGUCUCUACAAUUUUUAUGCAUUAUCUUUUGCUAUAUUGUCUCUACAACUUUAUUUAUUUUCAAUACAUGUAUACAUUGUCAAGUAUUUUCUUUACACUUUUGUCAAUACCAUCACACUACAUGCCUAUUUUAUAUAUAUAUAUUUUGCUAUUUACAUUUACUCUACAUUGGCUAUACAUCAUAUUUAUGUUUACCUAUAUUUUCAUUUGUAUUCUUAUGUUCUUUUUACAUACAUCAUUCACCAAUACAUUUGUUACAUUACAUACACUACACUAAUCCUAGGGGCAAAUUAAGUUUCAUCAUUAUUUUGUCAAAUCACUUUUUCAAAAACUUUAUGUCAAAUCAUCUUUUCAAUAACUUUUUGUCAAACUACUUUUUCAAGGACUUUGGUCACAUUACUUUUUCAAAGAAUCUUUAUCAAAUCACUUUUUAAAGACUUUAUGUCACAUACCUUACUUUUUGACUUUUUCAUUUUUUUUUAACUAAUACUUUUUCUUUCAUCUUGCAAUUUAUUACAAAUACUACACUUUUGGCCAAUGAAGAAAUUUCCGUCGAUUUCCAAGGCCUCCCCUGUACAAAAGACGGGUUUUUAUGUUAAGUUUAUUCAUUAUUUCUUUAAUUCAUUCGAUAGUUAUUUAUUCUCUUACUAACACUUUUACUAAGUGUUUAUACAGGUACCCGGAGACACAUCCCGAAGACGACACUCGGAAGGAACUCGAAGACUUCAUCGAAUCCUUAUACACUUUUAUACUUACGAGGUUUAUGUGAUGAAGAGGGAUUUGGUGAAGAUCUAAUCAAAUAUGGAAAAGAAGAUAUUACAAGAUGGAAUUACGGAAGAAGAUGUGGAAGAAAAAUACUUACUCAAAUCAAGGUGCAAGAACUAUGGAAAAAAUAUUUACUACGAUUCUAUGGAAGAAAAAUAUUCUACAAAAAGAAAUAUCAAGAUCAAUUUGUUGCUUAAGGAAGAUCCAAAAUCUAUGGAGUAUCAAGAUGUCUCAAGUUUACAAAAGUGUCCACAUUCAGAGUUAUCAAAGUCCAAAUUCAAGAAGAUGAAUGUGAUUACAUUCAAAAUAAUAUAAAGAUCCAAAGUGAAAUGAAGAGAAUCUUGAAAUUCUCUUGGGUUGUUUAAAUAAGAGCUCAAAUUUAUAUAGCCAGAAGAACACUUCGACAAGCAAUGACGAUAUAUUCAGCAAGAAUAAAUCAUGAAGAUUGGUACUGCACCAAAGAAGGAAAGGCUCCAAUCCAAAGAGAGACUGGUACUGGAUUAAAAAAGGAAGGUCUAUAAAAGUUGAAAAUUAUGAGUCAAUGAUGUGAACAUUAUUUUAUUAUUCCAUAAAGGGAUCAGAUUUGUAUAUGGCAAAGGAAGGAUCCGUUCUUAAAAUAUUUAAUUGAAGAGAGAAAGGAAAUUAUAUUCUUUUAUGUAUUUUCCUAUUAUGAUCAACAAAGUGGAGAUCUCCUCUAUACUAUCACUGGCGUCAAAAAUUAUGAAAGAGGAUAUAAGGAAAGCCUUGUUUUACGUGAGACAAAUAAGAGAAAAUAUUCUCUAUGUUACAAA